rnacentral:rRNA from 1 species
UUGGACCUGAUAUCAGACAAGACUACCCGC